AUUGAACGCUGGCGGCAGGCCUAACACAUGCAAGUCGAGCGGAUGAAGGGAGCUUGCUCCUGGAUUCAGCGGCGGACGGGUGAGUAAUGCCUAGGAAUCUGCCUGGUAGUGGGGGAUAACGUCCGGAAACGGGCGCUAAUACCGCAUACGUCCUGAGUGAGAAAGUGGGGGAUCUUCGGACCUCUCGCUAUCAGAUGAGCCUAGGUCGGAUUAGCUAGUUGGUGGGGUAAAGGCCUACCAAGGCGACGAUCCGUAACUGGUCUGAGAGGAUGAUCAGUCACACUGGAACUGAGACACGGUCCAGACUCCUACGGGAGGAAGCAGUGGGGAAUAUUGGACAAUGGGCGAAAGCCUGAUCCAGCCAUGCCGCGUGUGUGAAGAAGGUCUUCGGAUUGUAAAGCACUUUAAGUUGGGAGGAAGGGCAGUAAGUUAAUACCUUGCUGUUUUGACGUUACCAACAGAAUAAGCACCGGCUAACUUCGUG
rnacentral:rRNA from 1 species